AAGGGCAAGUUCACACGAAAAUAAACCUAUUUUUCUUGUACUUUUUCAUCAUGAAAAGUAUUUACCUAGUAGUUUCGGAGGCAAAACAAUUAAAAUAUCACACGUAUCAAAUUUAUUUUAUUCAUAAAAUCGGUUCAUAUUUUUCACAUUUACAGAGAGUUCUAUUUCCAUAAUAAACACACCAUGGCUUAUGCCCCUUGCAAUAUGAUGUCAUUGGUGCCAAUUGACAAAGGAAUGACGUCAUAAGACUUUAUUAGACGCGUUUCACGUGGUGUAUGUAGGUGUGUGGUUCUAUCUUCUCAGAUGCGCAGCCUAGCUAUUGUUUUGUUCGGUGCCGAGCUGUCCAAGAUACAACGCUAAGCACAAUUACUCUAAAAUUAUUUCGGUUUCCAAAAUCACGACUGAGAAGACAACAAUGCACUGAUAACAUACUGUAAGAUUCGCGAUUAUGGUUGGAAGGGUCCGUUGUAUGAAUUGCGCUUAUUCGUUCAUUUGUGUUGCGCAUAUUGGCUCUUGCUGAGUUGCUGUUGUCCUCCGUGAGAGUUUAGAUACCUGCUGGUUCUGAAACCACAGGACCAUAUGUAACUAAUAAUAACAAUAAAAAAAACUCGUUUAAAAAUUAUAGACGAGGCCGAAGGCCGUUUUUGUUACUAUUAUUAGUUACAUAUGGUCCUGUGCUGAAACUGAUCGGAAGCGGAUGGUGUACGAUCCUUAUAUGGAAACGGGCUAAAGGGGCAGCACUCUCAUCAAGACCCUGACUGGGAUGUUUUUGUAAACAAACGCCGUAAAGUUGAAGUAACUCGAUCAGUUUCGAGCCAAGUCAUGCCAGACACCAAUGCCCAGAAAGUACAGGUCCCCAGUCCAUCAUGGUGUAAAGUCGCUGUCCAAUGUACACCAGAAGCAUGGCACACCGUGCUUCAUAGUAUGAGGUCCCACAAUGAUAUGGAAGAGUAUAAAUGCGACAAAACCCUUUCCAUAUUUAUAUGAAAUCUCUGUAAAAAACAGUUGAUGAUACGAUUCUGACUAAAUCAUGAGCACGUGUUAAUGAAUCGCUAUCAAAUAGUGAUAAUACCAGGUGUUCGCGAAAGUAGAGAGUAUCCUGCCCCACCGGUGUCACAAGAAAUCCCUGGUGUUGAGAUCCAUUUUCAUUGAGUGCAAAUUGUGUUUAUUUUCAUGCAGAGUUACAAGUCAUAAAAUAUUAGAGUGUCUUGUGAGGUACAGUGCUUCAGACAACAAGAGAGCUGUACUUUUGAAAUAGUCAACCAGUGCACUAACAAGUUGCCACUGAGCAUUCAGCCAGUGCUUGUGAUAUUUUGUUCAGUCUUUUCCCCGGCCUUCGCCCUUGCCCCAAACUACCUGAUCCAGCAUCAGCCAUCGUGUAUUACAGAAACUUAUCAAAUGAACAGCAAAGGCUGAUUGUUGUCAGAGACCAUAAAACAAGAUUUCAAUGAAAAAAGUUUAUUUUAAUGAGCAUAGAGAAAAACUUUACAUACAUCAGAUGGAAAUCUUUCAUGAAUCACCUCGACAACACAAGACGGAAUAACUUUUCUCUGAUUCUUCAACUCUUUCUGCAAAUCCCCAAAGUGAACCUCUUGUUUAUGAGGUGUAGAUAGAUUCUGAAAUGAAAAAGUGUCUUUUAUUAGUCAAGCGAUGCACAACAUUACAAAACAAUAUCAUACCAUUUACAUAUAUAUUUUUGUCAUUAAAUCUGGAGGGAUGCUUAUAUAAGAAGUAACUUGUAUUGAUGUUAUAUGCAAAAAUUUUAUUACAUGUCAAUAAUUCAAUAAAUACCAAAACAGUUUAUAGUUCUAUCAUGUUGACAUGAUGUGUUUAUUACUGUAGGUUUGAAUACUUCUUGAAAUAUUGUGGGCAUGUUUCAAUAUCACUGAUGUAAUUUAAUAACCUUACAAGUUACAUAUGCUUUCACAACUUGCUGGCAAAUAAACAUUUAUGGUACUCGAA
rnacentral:lncRNA from 1 species